rnacentral:tRNA from 1 species
GGAGAGGUCGCAUAGUGGCUUAGUGCGCUUGCUUGGAAAGCAGGUAGAUCUUUACGGGUCUCGGGAGUUCGAAUCUCCCCCUCUCCG